AAAGAAUGCGCACGCGCACACACCAGCCGCCUAGCCAAGGAACUGAAGAGAGAUGGAAGUUGCCAGUGCAAAAAACAGCCGCUUGAUUUACUGCUCCCCGCUGGAGCAGAGGUCACGGACCAAACCACUACUUCUAAAAGAACACACCGGAAUGGAGUUCCAGCACCUUUUUUCAACCGAUUUUCCAGAGUUGCAUUCUUUUCCUAUUGUUGCCCUUCCUAUCCUUGUUUGCUUUUGAAAAUGCCCCACUGGUGGUACAGUGUGAACGGGGUCCCCUCCAGCACUCUUUGCUUCCUCUAGGAGGAGCCAUGAGGCGCUGGAGCACCACAGCAAGAGUGUGGCUUGAUUGACUAAGUCGAACCACCUGGUGUGGAAGCUGAUGGUGGCAGUGGGAGACACAUAAACAUGGAGGCUAUCUUUCACGAGAGGUCACAUGAUGCAACUUUUAAAACUUUCAACAGUUGGUUGCAAUUGAAAAUGCACAGCAGAAAUAAAUUAGGGAGACAGACGAUGCCAAGAACAAUGAAAACCAUAAAAGAACAGAAGAAUUUGAAGCCAAAUUGUUAAAUGGUAUGGCAUUGAUUAAAAGAACCAUCAUAUAACAUGGAAAGGAUGAUGAUCUGCAGCAAUGGACUGUUGGUAUAUAGGUGAAGACGUGGUAGAGGGGGCCGCAUGUCAAGCCCUACGGGGCUUGCCAUCCGGUGGUGGGCGCUCCGCCAGCCAGCUGAGCAGCGCGGAUCAGCUGGCGGCCACCCGAAGCAGGCUCCGGCGCCCUAUCUUCCAGCCAGUCAACAAUGCAGCCACGGAAGCCGGUGCCGGGCGCCUUGCCAGCCAGCUGAGCGGCGGAAGGCUGCGGCCGCCCGAAACAAGCCUUGACCUCCUGCCUCCCAGCCGGCCACCGUAGGGACUACGGAAGCUGGUGCCGGGUGCCCCACCAGCCGGCUGAGCAGCGGAGGUCCAGCAGCUGCCCGAAGUAAGCCCCACCGCCCUGCCCCCCUGCCGGCCACCAUAGAGGCUGGGGCCAGAAGGGCCACCAUCCACCUAACCAUUGAACACCGGCAGCCCGACCAUGAGACCACCUACAUCCCUCCUGACACUCUCAAGCAAAGCCAGCUGGACAGCGGAGGCCAACAGGCCAGCAGAGGGAGUGGGUUACAACAAAGACUGCUCUCUAUAGAGAACUGCAAGGCACACAAGUACUUACUAGAGUCAGAGGAGCCGAAACGCGAGGCAGAAGCAGACAGCCAUGCCUUGGCCGGACAGACAGGGAAACAAGGGGGCAGAGUUUUCUGGAAGGAGGGUCUGGGUCAAACAUGUAAUUUUAUGCAAGCAGCUAGGCGGGUGGUGGUUUCUGGGUGGAGGGUGGGGUUUUGGGUGUGGUAUCACUAUAAGAAGCAAUGGGAGCAAUCCACUCCCAGUGCUGACUUUGUUUGUUAGGCAUUAAUAAACUUAACUUGCACUACGUUCCUGUGUUCCUGGUUUCUUCAGUCGGGACCACAAUGGACCUAGAUUUGACACUGGCUACAAAUCAUAAUUUGUUUAGAGAUUACAAAUCUGGAUCUGAAAUUAAUUUUGAAGCUAUUUUCCAAAUCACAGUUGGCACAAACAAUAGCUUCUGUUGAAUUCAAAAGAUAAAAGUCUAAGUCAGAAAUUAGAGAAUGUAUAACCAAACCAAGAUAAAUAAUUUAUUAGACAUGUUGCUCUCUGAAAGCAGAAGAUGCUCUUGGCCUCACAUCUUGGUUUACAAAAGCCUGCAUCCUAGCUAAAGAAAACUAGAUAGAAAUGUUAUUCUUUGAAUAAGCCAGCAAAACCUACCUGCUAUGGCACUCAGAAUUUCUCCUCAAAAUAGGGCUAUCAGAUAUAAACUGCCACUAGAUUGUAGCAAUGAUAAAUUCUAACUCAGAUGUCAUGGUUAUCUGGAAUUAUGCAGCUCACAUCUGGUAUUCCAGAUUAAAUAUAUAAGGGGCAAUCAUUCAGACUGAAUUUAAAUAAUUUAAUAAUAGUUGACAUUGAGUUAAAUUUCAAUUAACUGCAAUUUAUAUACUAUCCACUUACUUAACUUGAUUCAACUCCCUUUUGGGAUAAUAGACCUUGCGUGCCCAAAAUGAUCUAGUGCAGGGGUGUCAAACUUUCAGCCCUCAGGCUGGAUGCGUCACGUGGAAUCUGCACCCACCCCAGCUCCGGCAAGGGGAAAAAAAAAGCAUGAUAUGUUGCAACACGUCACGUGACGCAGUGAGUUUGACAACCCUGAUCUAGUGCAGAUUUC